rnacentral:rRNA from 1 species
GACGAACGUUGGCGGCGUGCUUAACACAUGCAAGUCGAACGGAAAGGCCCUGCUUUUGUGGGGUGCUCGAGUGGCGAACGGGUGAGUAACACGUGAGUAACCUGCCCUUGACUUUGGGAUAACUUCAGGAAACUGGGGCUAAUACCGGAUAGGAGCUCCUGCUGCAUGGUGGGGGUUGGAAAGUUUCGGCGGUUGGGGAUGGACUCGCGGCUUAUCAGCUUGUUGGUGGGGUAGUGGCUUACCAAGGCUUUGACGGGUAGCCGGCCUGAGAGGGUGACCGGCCACAUUGGGACUGAGAUACGGCCCAGACUCCUACGGGAGGCAGCAGUGGGGAAUAUUGCACAAUGGGCGGAAGCCUGAUGCAGCAACGCCGCGUGCGGGAUGACGGCCUUCGGGUUGUAAACCGCUUUCGCCUGUGACGAAGCGUGAGUGACGGUAAUGGGUAAAGAAGCACCGGCUAACUACGUGCCAGCAGCCGCGGUGAUACGUAGGGUGCGAGCGUUGUCCGGAUUUAUUGGGCGUAAAGGGCUCGUAGGUGGUUGAUCGCGUCGGAAGUGUAAUCUUGGGGCUUAACCCUGAGCGUGCUUUCGAUACGGGUUGACUUGAGGAAGGUAGGGGAGAAUGGAAUUCCUGGUGGAGCGGUGGAAUGCGCAGAUAUCAGGAGGAACACCAGUGGCGAAGGCGGUUCUCUGGGCCUUUCCUGACGCUGAGGAGCGAAAGCGUGGGGAGCGAACAGGCUUAGAUACCCUGGUAGUCCACGCUGUAAACGGUGGGUACUAGGUGUGGGGUCCAUUCCACGGGUUCCGUGCCGUAGCUAACGCUUUAAGUACCCCGCCUGGGGAGUACGGCCGCAAGGCUAAAACUCAAAGGAAUUGACGGGGCCCCGCACAAGCGGCGGAGCAUGCGGAUUAAUUCGAUGCAACGCGUAGAACCUUACCUGGGUUUGACAUGGAUCGGGAGUGCUCAGAGAUGGGUGUGCCUCUUUUGGGGUCGGUUCACAGGUGGUGUAUGCCUGUCGUCAGCUCGUGUCGUGAGAUGUUGGGUUAAGUCCCGCAACGAGCGCAACCCUUGUUCACUGUUGCCAGCACGUUAUGGUGGGGACUCAGUGGAGACCGCCGGGGUCAACUCGGAGGAAGGUGGGGAUGACGUCAAGUCCUCAUGCCCCUUAUGUCCAGGGCUUCACGCAUGCUACAAUGGCUGGUACAGAGAGUGGCGAGCCUGUGAGGGUGAGCGAAUCUCGGAAAGCCGGUCUCAGUUCGGAUUGGGGUCUGCAACUCGACCUCAUGAAGUCGGAGUCGCUAGUAAUCGCAGAUCAGCAACGCUGCGGUGAAUACGUUCCCGGGGCU